CAGCAGCCACGGUAAUACGAAGGGUGCAAGCGCUACUCGGAAUUACUGGGCGUAAAGCGUGCGUAGGUGGUGGUUUAAGUCCGUUGUGAAAGCCCUGGGCUCAACCUGGGAAUUGCAGUGGAUACUGGAUCACUAGAGUGUGGUAGAGGAUAGUGGAAUUUCCGGUGUAGCAGUGAAAUGCGUAGAGAUCGGAAGGAACAUCUGUGGCGAAGGCGACUAUCUGGGACAACACUGACACUGAGGCACGAAAGCGUGGGGAGCAAACAGGAUUAGAUACCCCAGUAGUCCCUGUCUCUUAUAC
rnacentral:rRNA from 1 species